UUAAGCGACUAAGCGUACACGGUGGAUGCCCUGGCAGUCAGAGGCGAUGAAGGACGUGCUAAUCUGCGAUAAGCGUCGGUAAGGUGAUAUGAACCGUUAUAACCGGCGAUUUCCGAAUGGGGAAACCCAGUGUGAUUCGUCACACUAUCAUUAACUGAAUCCAUAGGUUAAUGAGGCGAACCGGGGGAACUGAAACAUCUAAGUACCCCGAGGAAAAGAAAUCAACCGAGAUUCCCCCAGUAGCGGCGAGCGAACGGGGAGCAGCCCAGAGCCUGAAUCAGUGUGUGUGUUAGUGGAGGCGUCUGGAAAGGCGUGCGAUACAGGGUGACAGCCCCGUACACAAAAAUGCACAUACUGUGAGCUCGAUGAGUAGGGCGGGACACGUGGUAUCCUGUCUGAAUAUGGGGGGACCAUCCUCCAAGGCUAAAUACUCCUGACUGACCGAUAGUGAACCAGUACCGUGAGGAAAGGCGAAAGAACCCGGCGAGGGGAGUGAAAAGAACCUGAAACCGUGUACGUACAAGCAGUGGGAGCACGCUUAGGCGUGUGACUGCGUACCUUUUGUAUAAUGGGUCAGCGACUUAUAUUCUGUAGCAAGGUUAACCGAAUAGGGGAGCCGAAGGGAAACCGAGUCUUAACUGGGCGUUAAGUUGCAGGGUAUAGACCCGAAACCCGGUGAUCUAGCCAUGGGCAGGUUGAAGGUUGGGUAACACUAACUGGAGGACCGAACCGACUAAUGUUGAAAAAUUAGCGGAUGACUUGUGGCUGGGGGUGAAAGGCCAAUCAAACCGGGAGAUAGCUGGUUCUCCCCGAAAGCUAUUUAGGUAGCGCCUCGUGAAUUCAUCUCCGGGGGUAGAGCACUGUUUCGGCAAGGGGGUCAUCCCGACUUACCAACCCGAUGCAAACUGCGAAUACCGGAGAAUGUUAUCACGGGAGACACACGGCGGGUGCUAACGUCCGUCGUGAAGAGGGAAACAACCCAGACCGCCAGCUAAGGUCCCAAAGUCAUGGUUAAGUGGGAAACGAUGUGGGAAGGCCCAGACAGCCAGGAUGUUGGCUUAGAAGCAGCCAUCAUUUAAAGAAAGCGUAAUAGCUCACUGGUCGAGUCGGCCUGCGCGGAAGAUGUAACGGGGCUAAACCAUGCACCGAAGCUGCGGCAGCGACGCUUAUGCGUUGUUGGGUAGGGGAGCGUUCUGUAAGCCUGUGAAGGUGUGCUGUGAGGUAUGCUGGAGGUAUCAGAAGUGCGAAUGCUGACAUAAGUAACGAUAAAGCGGGUGAAAAGCCCGCUCGCCGGAAGACCAAGGGUUCCUGUCCAACGUUAAUCGGGGCAGGGUGAGUCGACCCCUAAGGCGAGGCCGAAAGGCGUAGUCGAUGGGAAACAGGUUAAUAUUCCUGUACUUGGUGUUACUGCGAAGGGGGGACGGAGAAGGCUAUGUUGGCCGGGCGACGGUUGUCCCGGUUUAAGCGUGUAGGCUGGUUUUCCAGGCAAAUCCGGAAAAUCAAGGCCGAGGCGUGAUGACGAGGCACUACGGUGCUGAAGCAACAAAUGCCCUGCUUCCAGGAAAAGCCUCUAAGCAUCAGGUAACAUCAAAUCGUACCCCAAACCGACACAGGUGGUCAGGUAGAGAAUACCAAGGCGCUUGAGAGAACUCGGGUGAAGGAACUAGGCAAAAUGGUGCCGUAACUUCGGGAGAAGGCACGCUGAUACGUAGGUGAAGCGACUUGCUCGUGGAGCUGAAAUCAGUCGAAGAUACCAGCUGGCUGCAACUGUUUAUUAAAAACACAGCACUGUGCAAACACGAAAGUGGACGUAUACGGUGUGACGCCUGCCCGGUGCCGGAAGGUUAAUUGAUGGGGUUAGCGCAAGCGAAGCUCUUGAUCGAAGCCCCGGUAAACGGCGGCCGUAACUAUAACGGUCCUAAGGUAGCGAAAUUCCUUGUCGGGUAAGUUCCGACCUGCACGAAUGGCGUAAUGAUGGCCAGGCUGUCUCCACCCGAGACUCAGUGAAAUUGAACUCGCUGUGAAGAUGCAGUGUACCCGCGGCAAGACGGAAAGACCCCGUGAACCUUUACUAUAGCUUGACACUGAACAUUGAGCCUUGAUGUGUAGGAUAGGUGGGAGGCUUUGAAGUGUGGACGCCAGUCUGCAUGGAGCCGACCUUGAAAUACCACCCUUUAAUGUUUGAUGUUCUAACGUGGACCCGUGAUCCGGGUUGCGGACAGUGUCUGGUGGGUAGUUUGACUGGGGCGGUCUCCUCCUAAAGAGUAACGGAGGAGCACGAAGGUUGGCUAAUCCUGGUCGGACAUCAGGAGGUUAGUGCAAUGGCAUAAGCCAGCUUGACUGCGAGCGUGACGGCGCGAGCAGGUGCGAAAGCAGGUCAUAGUGAUCCGGUGGUUCUGAAUGGAAGGGCCAUCGCUCAACGGAUAAAAGGUACUCCGGGGAUAACAGGCUGAUACCGCCCAAGAGUUCAUAUCGACGGCGGUGUUUGGCACCUCGAUGUCGGCUCAUCACAUCCUGGGGCUGAAGUAGGUCCCAAGGGUAUGGCUGUUCGCCAUUUAAAGUGGUACGCGAGCUGGGUUUAGAACGUCGUGAGACAGUUCGGUCCCUAUCUGCCGUGGGCGCUGGAGAACUGAGGGGGGCUGCUCCUAGUACGAGAGGACCGGAGUGGACGCAUCACUGGUGUUCGGGUUGUCAUGCCAAUGGCACUGCCCGGUAGCUAAAUGCGGAAGAGAUAAGUGCUGAAAGCAUCUAAGCACGAAACUUGCCCCGAGAUGAGUUCUCCCUGACCCUUUAAGGGUCCUGAAGGAACGUUGAAGACGACGACGUUGAUAGGCCGGGUGUGUAAGCGCAGCGAUGCGUUGAGCUAACCGGUACUAAUGAACCGUGAGGCUUAACCUU
rnacentral:rRNA from 1 species